rnacentral:rRNA from 1 species
GGAGUUGCUUAGACAACCAGGAGGUUGGCUUAGAAGCAGCCAUCCUUGAAAGAGUGCGUAAUAGCUCACUGGUCAAGUGAUUCCGCGCCGACAAUGUAGCGGGGCUCAAGUACACCGCCGAAGUUGUGGCAUUGCACCAAUGAUACCCAACCGGUCUCCGACCGGUUCAGGUGGUGCGAUGGGUAGGGGAGCGUCGUGUGGGCAGUGAAGCUGCGGGGUGACCCAGUGGUGGAGCCCACACGAGUGAGAAUGCAGGCAUGAGUAGCGAAUGACGGGUGAGAAACCCGUCCGCCGGAUGAUCAAGGGUUCCAGGGUCAAGCUAAUCUGCCCUGGGUCAGUCGGGACCUAAGGCGAGGCCG